rfam:Erythranthe guttata cultivar DTN x IM62 scaffold_7_contig_2, whole genome shotgun sequence.
UGAAUGGUUUUUCUUGAAACCACUCACAUUAGAACUAUGGUUAACU